UACAGAGGGUGCGAGCGUUAAUCGGAAUUACUGGGCGUAAAGCGUGCGUAGGCGGCCUGCUAAGUCGGACGUGAAAUCCCUCGGCUCAACCGGGGAACUGCGUCCGAUACUGGUGGGCUCGAAUCCGGGAGAGGGAUGUGGAAUUCCAGGUGUAGCGGUGAAAUGCGUAGAUAUCUGGAGGAACACCGGUGGCGAAGGCGGCAUCCUGGACCGGCAUUGACGCUGAGGCGCGAAAGCCAGGGGAGCAAACGGG
rnacentral:rRNA from 1 species